rnacentral:rRNA from 1 species
AUUGAACGCUGGCGGCAGGCCUAACACAUGCAAGUCGAGCGAGCGGCGGACGGGUGAGUAAUGUAUGGGGACUGCCCGAUAGAGGGGGAUAACUACUGGAAACGGUAGCUAAUACCGCAUCCUAUCGGAUAACCCAUAUGGGAUUAGCUAGUAGGUGAGGUAAUGGCUCACCUAGGCGACGAUCCCUAGCUGGUCUGAGAGGAUGAUCAGCCACACUGGGACUGAGCAACGGCCCAGGCGCCUACGGAGGCAGCAGUGGGGAAUAUUGCACAAUGGGCGCAAGCCUGAUUCAGCCAUGCCGCGUGUAUGAAGAAGGCCAUAGUGUUGUAAAGUACUUACAGUCGGGAGGCGUUACCGACAGUAGAAGCACCGGCCAACGCCGUGCCAGCAGCGGCGGUAAUUC